GGAGUGGUAGUUCAGCUGGUUAGAAUACCUGCCUGUCACGCAGGGGGGCGCGGGUUCGAGUCCCGUCCAUUCCGCCA
rnacentral:tRNA from 4 species